CCUACGGGAGGCUGCAGUGGGGAAUAUUGCACAAUGGGGGAAACCCUGAUGCAGCGACGCCGCGUGAGUGAAGAAGUAUCUCGGUAUGUAAAGCCCUAUCAGCAGGGGAGAAAAUGACGGUACUUGAUUAAGAAGCCCCUGCUAACUACGUGCCAGAAGCCGCGGUCAUUCGUAGGGGGCAAGCGGUAUCCGGAUUUACUAGGUGUAAAGGGAGCGUAGACGGCAGCAGAAGUCUGGAGUGAAAUGCCGGGGCUUAACCCCGGGACUGCUUUGGAAACUGUGCAGCUAGAGUGCAGGAGAGGUAAGUGGAAUUCCUGGUGUAGCGGUGAAAUGCGUAGAUAUUAGGAGGAACACCAGUGGCGAAGGCGGCUUACUGGACUAUAACUGACGUUGAGGCUCGAAAGCGUGGGGAGCAAACAGGAUUAGAUACCCCGGUAGUC
rnacentral:rRNA from 1 species